GCCGCAUUAGCUCAGUUGGUAGAGCGCCAGUCUUGUAAACUGGAGGCCAGUGGUUCGAAUCCGCUAUGCGGCU